CGCGCGGGGGUGCGGAUCCCGCGCUACGCGUGCGCGCUGCCAGGGCCACGGACCCGGCGCAGCUUUUUAAAAAGUCAUCAAAGUGAGCGUGGCCGAGGGGAAGAACGCGUCUUUCUGGAAUGUGUCAGACUUCCCACGUGUCCUCCUGUCGUGUCACCUCGCCCCUGCGCGGCCUGCACCUCACUGGCGGUUCUGCUGCUGGACACCGCCGCAGGGGAGACCUCCCCGUGGGGACCGCAGCGCGCUGCAGGAGGCUUCCCGAAGACCCCGGAAAUUGUUCCAGCCCCUGGGAUUUUAAGUGCUGUUUGGUCCUCAUGGCUGGGUUUCUUGAGGCGAGACCCUCCCACGGUGCUUCCCAGUCCCCGAAGGACCGAGAGUCCAGGAGCUGGCCUCUAGCCCAGAGCCCCCCUUCUCUGAGGACGCCGAUACAUCAUCCAGGCCCUUGGCCCGGCCACAGACAUGACCAGGGAUCACUCUCUGCCCGCUUUCCUGCAUCCUAACCACCACACGAUGUGAAGGGUUCUUGCAGGUUCUUCAAGGAAAUUAAAAUAUUCUGACUUUGGCAUUCACCUACAGUGCUAAUCUACAAAACUCUUAACGUGUGGUUUUCCCAUGACUUAGUGAAUUCAAAAAGUUUCUAAUUUUCUCAUAAAGUAUUCAUUCACAUCA